rnacentral:lncRNA from 1 species
GUUACAUUGAUGUGCUAAAAGUUCUCGUCUAAUAAUUUUCAUUGAUAUGAAUUACAGAGAUGUUUAAGAUAUAGAAUAACAGAACUUGCUGAUACAUAGAAUAUAGGAGCCAAGAAGAAGGGAGGAAUCAAGGACAGUCAUUACAUUUUCUUGGCUUGAGGUACUAGGAUGACAGUGAUGCCAAUCAUUUGAUGGAGAAGACUGGAAGGCCGAGCUGCUGUGGGAGGAUGUACUAAAGGUUCCAUUUCAGACAUUUAAUAUUGAGAAAUUUCCGAGACAGCCAAGCGAGAGUUACACAUAUGCUCUUGUAUACAAAUCUGGAGCUCAGGGAAGAGCUCUGGCCUUAAUAUGAAUUUGGGAUGGAUUAGCCUAAAUAUAGUAAUUAGAGCCUUGAGGAUGGGUAAACUGAUCUUGGAGGUUGUAUAGAUAGAAAAGAGUAGAAGGCAAACUCUGAGAUAUUCUUAUGUUUAGAGGUCAGGUAUUAGAGAAAGAGCAAAGAAGGCUGAGGUGGGAGAAAAACAAGGAGAAAACAGUGUCUCUAAAAGGACGAGAAGCUAUGAUUUCAAGGAGAGAAUAGUCAACUGUAUUAAGUGAGUCUGAAGGUGGACUGCAAUGAAUAAAGAAAGUGCUCAUUGGAUUUGGCAACAUGGAACUCACUAGUGACCCUGACAAGAGCAGCUUAAGUGCAUUGGUGGAGAAGAAGCCAGAUUACAGUGUCACAAAUUAGUGAGAUAGAGGGAAAUGAGGAAGCAAAGGGAAUGUAGACAACAUUUUUGAGAGGUUUGGUUUUGAAUGAUGGUUGAUAAAUAGGUGGUAAGAUGCAACAUCAAGCUUUUUUGUUUAUUUUAUUUUAAUAUGAAAGAUACAACAGCAUGUUUGUAUUCUACUAGAAAUGAUACAUGCAGGGGAAGAGAUUAAUCAUACAGAAGAGAGAUGGAUGACCAACAUUGUAUAGGCCCUAGAAAGAAAAGAACACUGGCUUCCUGUGCCUGGGGAGAUGAUCAUCAAGCCGGCUCACUGGCAAUCAACGUGAAUUCAUUAAAUAAAACAGGAAGUAAACAGAACAUUUGGAUCUGCUGGUUGCUGUUACUUGAGGGAAGCAGCAGAAUUCACAGUCACGCUCUUUGUACGGUAAAGUUCACCAAUGCACUUCUCUCAAUAAGAAAAUCUUUCUGCCUUGAGGCCUUUCUCCUCUCUCAUUCCACUGACCCGC